GACGAACCGUGCGAACGUUGUUCGGAAUCACUGGGCUUAAAGGGCGCGUAGGCGGUUCAUCAAGUCUGGGGUGAAAUCUUUCGGCUUAACCGGAAAAGUGCCUGGGAUACUGAUGAACUGGAGGGAGAUAGGGGCAGCUGGAACUUCCGGUGGAGCGGUGAAAUGCGUUGAUAUCUACAGGAACUCCGGUGGCGAAAGCGGCGUGCUGGACCUUUUCUGACGCUGAGGCGCGAAAGCUAGGGGAGCAAACGGG
rnacentral:rRNA from 1 species